UACGUAGGGGGCGAGCGUUGUCCGGAUUUACUGGGCGUAAAGAGCGCGUAGGCGGCUUGUUAAGUUGGCUGUGAAAGUCCCUGGCCUAACUGGGGAAAGUCGGCCGAGACUGGCAGGCUCGAGAGCGGUAGAGGAAGGUGGAAUUCCGGGUGUAGUGGUGAAAUGCGUAGAUAUCCGGAGGAACACCGGUAGCGAAGGCGGCCUUCUGGGCCGUUUCUGACGCUGAGGCGCGAAAGCGUGGGGAGCGAACCGA
rnacentral:rRNA from 1 species